AUGUGGAGAUAUCAAUGGCAAUCAAUUUCAAAUACACAACACUGGCAUUUAUUUCUAAAGCUAGAGGCCUGAACUAAACACUCAGGAUAACAAAGUUACUUCUCUUCUUGCUUUUCUUUACUCACACAAACUGGCAAACUGAAUAUAACACAUACAAGACAAGGACCACAUUUUAUUAUCAAUGUAAAAUAUUUCUUCAAAGAUUUCUACAAAGAGUAUACAGAACAGAACAGUUGUCAUGGAUGUGCAUAAAUACAAAUAGGUGGAGCUCGAGGUGGAGAUGUACAUCAAAUGGUAACACUGUAAUUUUAUUACACUGACAUUUAUUUCUAAAGCUAGAAGACACUCAGGAAAACAAUGUUGUUCCUCUUCAUGGUGUUUUUCACUCUUGCUGAUGUUGCACAGGCUGCUGACAAUAGCAUUAAACCAGAUCAGACCAAUGUAUUUUCAACGGAAGGCUGCAACAUCUCACUGUCCUGCACAUAUACUGGAUCAGUUAACAGUCUCCACUGGUAUCGACACAAACUUGGAUCAAGACCUGACUUUCUGCUGCUCAUUGCUGAAAGCAGUAAACAUGUCACACCAGCUCAACCGCCUCAUCCACGAUUGUCUAUAAAACUUAAAAAUGAUCGAGAUAAAAAGAGUAAGACAGUGGAUCUGAUCAUCUCCUCUGCUGCUGUGACAGACUCUGCUCUAUACUACUGUGCUCUGCAGCAUACAGUGACAGGAAAUCCAGCUGCACUGUACAAAAACUAACACAGUUUCGUUAUAUUGAA